UACGUAGGGGGCAAGCGUUGUCCGGAAUCAUUGGGCGUAAAGAGCGCGUAGGCGGCUUGGUAAGUCGGACGUGAAAACCCGAGGCUCAACCUCGGGCGUGCAUCCGAUACUGCCCGGCUAGAGGUAGGUAGGGGAGAUCGGAAUUCCUGGUGUAGCGGUGAAAUGCGCAGAUAUCAGGAAGAACACCUAUGGCGAAGGCAGCACUCUGGGACGGUACUGACGCUGAGACGCGAAAGCGUGGGGAGCGAACAGG
rnacentral:rRNA from 1 species